rnacentral:rRNA from 1 species
CUCAUGACGAACGCUGGCGGCGCGCCUAACACAUGCAAGUCGAACGGAGCUGUUUUCUCUGAAGUUUUCGGAUGGAAGAGAGUUCAGCUUAGUGGCGAACGGGUGAGUAACACGUGAGCAACCUGCCUUUCAGUGGGGGACAACAUUUGGAAACGAAUGCUAAUACCGCAUAAGACCACAGUGUCGCAUGGCACAGGGGUCAAAGGAUUUAUCCGCUGAAAGAUGGGCUCGCGUCCGAUUAGCUAGAUGGUGAGGUAACGGCCCACCAUGGCGACGAUCGGUAGCCGGACUGAGAGGUUGAACGGCCACAUUGGGACUGAGACACGGCCCAGACUCCUACGGGAGGCAGCAGUGGGGAAUAUUGCACAAUGGGGGAAACCCUGAUGCAGCGACGCCGCGUGGAGGAAGAAGGUCUUCGGAUUGUAAACUCCUGUCCCAGGGGACGAUAAUGACGGUACCCUGGGAGGAAGCACCGGCUAACUACGUGCCAGCAGCCGCGGUAAAACGUAGGGUGCAAGCGUUGUCCGGAAUUACUGGGUGUAAAGGGAGCGCAGGCGGAUUGGCAAGUUGGGAGUGAAAUCUAUGGGCUCAACCCAUAAAUUGCUUUCAAAACUGUCAGUCUUGAGUGGUGUAGAGGUAGGCGGAAUUCCCGGUGUAGCGGUGGAAUGCGUAGAUAUCGGGAGGAACACCAGUGGCGAAGGCGGCCUACUGGGCACUAACUGACGCUGAGGCUCGAAAGCAUGGGUAGCAAACAGGAUUAGAUACCCUGGUAGUCCAUGCCGUAAACGAUGAUUACUAGGUGUGGGAGGAUUGACCCCUUCCGUGCCGCAGUUAACACAAUAAGUAAUCCACCUGGGGAGUACGACCGCAAGGUUGAAACUCAAAGGAAUUGACGGGGGCCCGCACAAGCAGUGGAGUAUGUGGUUUAAUUCGAAGCAACGCGAAGAACCUUACCAGGUCUUGACAUCGGAUGCAUACCUAAGAGAUUAGGGAAGUCCUUCGGGACAUCCAGACAGGUGGUGCAUGGUUGUCGUCAGCUCGUGUCGUGAGAUGUUGGGUUAAGUCCCGCAACGAGCGCAACCCUUAUCGUUAGUUACUACGCAAGAGGACUCUAGCGAGACUGCCGUUGACAAAACGGAGGAAGGUGGGGAUGACGUCAAAUCAUCAUGCCCUUUAUGACCUGGGCUACACACGUACUACAAUGGCUAUUAACAGAGAGAGGCGAUACCGCGAGGUGGAGCAAACCUCACAAAAAUAGUCUCAGUUCGGAUCGCAGGCUGCAACCCGCCUGCGUGAAGCCGGAAUUGCUAGUAAUCGCGGAUCAGCAUGCCGCGGUGAAUACGUUCCCGGGCCUUGUACACACCGCCCGUCACACCAUGAGAGCCGGGGGGACCCGAAGUCGGUAGUCUAACCGUAAGGAGGACGCCGCCGAAGGUA